GAUGAACGCUGGCGGCGUGCUUAACACAUGCAAGUCGAACGGAAAGGCCCAAGCUUGCUUGGGUACUCGAGUGGCGAACGGGUGAGUAACAUGUGGGUGAUCUGCCCUGCACUUCGGGAUAAGCCUGGGAAACUGGGUCUAAUACCGGAUAGGACCACAUUUUGGAUGGUGUGGUGGAAAGUUUUUCGGUGUGGGAUGAGCUCGCGGCCUAUCAGCUUGUUGGUGGGGUAAUGGCCUACCAAGGCGUCGACGGGUAGCCGGCCUGAGAGGGUGUACGGCCACAUUGGGACUGAGAUACGGCCCAGACUCCUACGGGAGGCAGCAGUGGGGAAUAUUGCACAAUGGGCGCAAGCCUGAUGCAGCGACGCCGCGUGGGGGAUGACGGCCUUCGGGUUGUAAACUCCUUUCGCUAGGGACGAAGCGUUUUUGUGACGGUACCUGGAGAAGAAGCACCGGCUAACUACGUG
rnacentral:rRNA from 1 species